UUAGAGUCAGUGAUAUUAUAAGACUGGAAGAAGACCCAGAGAAAUUAAAUGACUUACCCAGGGUCAGAAGAGCAAGUAAAAAGGAAGCCUGGACUUGGCCCCAAGUCUUCAAAAUAGAGUAUGCUCGCUGUUAUAUCACACUGGCCCUCAGGCUCCUGGAGCAGUGAGAAAUAUGAGUUCUGAGUUCCAAUUCAAGCUAUAAAAGGACAUUUAUGGAAAAGAAAACAACAAUCCUACGGACUGACUCUUCUGUGAAAGAAUCACAUGGUAUAACAUCAGCACUCUCCAGAUAUUUGUUGAAGGCUUCCUUGUCGACCAAUAGGCUUCCACUUCGAGGAUGAGAAGAUAUCCUUAGGUUCUCCAGUCUGUCGUUGCAGGAUUGACAUUUCUUUCAAUAACCAAACAAAAUGUUAUGACCUACCAUCUUAUAUGUUAUGAAAAGUUCAGAGCCAGCUCUCUGCACUGUGGCUGGUGUCCUCAAAUUAUUUCAGUGCCUUGCCCCUCACUGGACACGAGUAUUUCAUUUCAUCAGCAUAAGACUGUUCUAUGUAGCAGACUUUUAGGUUGAGGGGUAACAAAUGGUUAUUAUAGUAUAAGAACCAACUUACAACACAGGAAACAAUUUCAAAAUUGAUGUCAGAUAUAACUUUUCCUAAAACUGUUGGUCAGUUGCAACCUUAGGGAAUUUCUCACUGAUUAUGUCUUUCCUUAGGUCUCUUCCAGUCACCCUGGAUUUGCUACUCUAACCCCACAUCCCCUUCACAUCUCUCCAGAACAGUCUCUUUAAAUACAAGAUUCCUUGUACUUUAUUACAAGCAAUUCAACUGUCUUGGGUCUCCACCUUUGAUUUAAAAAGCCCAUCAAACUCGUUAAUAAUUUAUGCAGAUGCAAAUAACAGAAAACCCAAGUGGCAUAAACAUGUAGAGAGUUUGCUGUUUCUCUUAAUAAAAAAUCCACUGGUAGGGAGUUCAAGAUUGGCACAGCAGCUCAGUAAUGCCAUCAAGUACCCAGGCUGUUUUUCUUUCCUUGCCGUCCUCAUUGCCAUCCAUGUCAUGUUGACUUUUAUCAUCAAGCCUGUUGUUUAAUGAGUCACAAAUAGGCUGCUGUUCCUCAGGAGCUACAUCCAAAUUGCAGACUGGAAGGAAGGAGAACAGGUGGUGCCUGUAUGAGGGAAAGCCGAUUCUUCUCCCAACAUUUCCAGCACACUUCCGUUUAGGUCUAAUUGAUAGAGUGGUGCCUUGGGGCACACCUAGAUCUAAAGAAGGCUGAGUAGUAUUUUAGCUGGGCAUUGUUGCCCAACAAGAGGUUGGAUUUCUAUAACUAAGGAAAGCGGGAAGAAUAGACAAGGAGUAGGAAAUUAGCAGUGUCUGACACAUUGUCUUAGUCUGUUCUGACUGCUAUAAAAAAUUACCAUAGACUAGGUGGCUUAUAAGUAACAGAAAUUUAUUCCCCGCAGUUCUGGAGGCUCUAAGUCUGAGAUGAGGCUGCCAGCAUGGUGAGGAGAGGGCCUUCUUCCAGGUUGCAGACUGCUGACUUCUUGCAUCCUCACAUGAUGGAGAGCAGCGGGCAGCAACCUCUCUCCUAACUCUUAAAAGGGCACUGAUCCCAUUCAGGAGGCUCCUGCUUCAUGACCUCAUCUAAUCCCAAUCACCUCCCAAAGGCCUCACCUCUUGGUACCAUCACAAGGGGGGAAGGAGAGGAGGGUGGCAGGGCAGAAUAGGAUUUCAACAUACGAAUAUUCAGUCCUUAGCUCCCUUAAAGAUGUUUUUCGUAAAAAGACCAUCUACCCCAGAGAUGAAAUGCCAAGGUCUAAACCCCAGAAACAGCUACCAUGGUUUUUGUUUUAAAUGGCAAUUUCCCCAAUGCUUGGCAUACAAACAUCAGUAAUAUGUAGAAUUUUCUUUUUGGCUUCUUGUAGUUUAAAAUUUCCAGCAAUAUAGUUUCAGGAGCAUUUUUAAUAAAUGAAUUUGUGACUUCCA